GGCUCAAUGGUCUAGUGGUAUGAUUCGUGCUUCGGGUGGAUCCCACCGUCUGUUAACAGGCUGAAGAUGUGCGAGGUCUCGGGUUCGAUCCCCGAUUGAGCCC